UACGAAGGGUGCAAGCGUUAAUCGGAAUUACUGGGCGUAAAGCGUGCGUAGGCGGUUUGUUAAGUCUGUUGUGAAAGCCCCGGGCUCAACCUGGGAAUGGCAAUGGAUACUGGCAAGCUAGAGUGCGGUAGAGGGUAGUGGAAUUCCCGGUGUAGCGGUGAAAUGCGUAGAUAUCGGAAGGAACACCAGUGGCGAAAGCGGCUUCCUGGUCCAGCACCGACGUUCAGGCACGAAAGCGUGGGGAGCAAACAGG
rnacentral:rRNA from 1 species